rnacentral:misc_RNA from 1 species
AAGUCGUAACAAGGUCUCCGUUGGUGAACCAGCGGAGGGAUCAUUACAGAGUUAUACAACUCCCAUACCAUUUGUAAACUUUACUCAGUUAUGCCUCGGCGUCAGCUCAGUAAGGAGGCAGAGUGGUGUUACCCUGUAGCCUACCCUGUAGGUUACCCUGUAGCGCUACCCUGUAUCAACUCCUGCUGCGGCCCGCCGGUGGUACACUAAACUCUCGUUUUAUUUUAUAUUCUGAGCGUAUUAUUUUAAUAAUUAAAACUUUCAACAACGGAUCUCUUGGUUCUG